GAUGAACGCUGGCGGCGUGCCUAAUACAUGCAAGUCGAGCGAACCACUUCGGUGGUGAGCGGCGAACGGGUGAGUAACACGUAGGUGAUCUGCCCAUCAGACGGGGACAACGAUUGGAAACGAUCGCUAAUACCGGAUAGGACGAAAGUUUAAAGGUGCUUCUGGCACCGCUGAUGGAUGAGCCUGCGGCGCAUUAGCUAGUUGGUAGGGUAAAGGCCUACCAAGGCGACGAUGCGUAGCCGACCUGAGAGGGUGAACGGCCACACUGGGACUGAGACACGGCCCAGACUCCUACGGGAGGCAGCAGUAGGGAAUCUUCGGAAAUGGGCGAAAGCCUGACCGAGCAACGCCGCGUGUGUGAUGAAGGGUUUCGGCUCGUAAAACACUGUUGUAAGAGAAGAAUGACAUUGAGAGUAACUGUUCAAUGUGUGACGGUAUCUUACCAGAAAGGAACGGCUAAAUACGUGCCAGCCGCCGCGGUAA
rnacentral:rRNA from 1 species